rnacentral:rRNA from 1 species
UACAGAGGUCUCGAGCGUUAGGCGGAAUCACUGGGCUUAAAGCGUGUGUAGGUGGAUCGUUAAGUACCUUGUGAAAUCCCACGGCUCAACCGUGGAACUGCUCGGUAUACUGGCGGUCUUGAGCCACCUAGGGGCAACUGGAACAAGCGGUGGAGCGGUGAAAUGCGUAGAUAUCGGGAGGAACACCAGUGGCGAAGGCGACUACCUGGCCUGUUCUUGACGCUGAGGCGCGAAAGCUGGGGGAGCAAACGGGG